AAUCAAAUUCUGAACUCCUAUGAAGCUUGCUCGGGCCAGGCUAUAAAUAAGGAAAAGUCAGCCAUCUUGUUCAGCAAGAAUACAAAGCUGGAGGACAAAGAGGAGCUCAUGAAUCAACUCAAUAUUGUUAUAGAAGGCUUCUCGGGAAAAUAUUUGGGUUUACCAUGCUAUAUUGGUAGAUCAAAAACCAAAGCUUUUGAAUAUAUCAAGGAAAAAGUAUGGAAAAGGUUACAAGGUGGGAAAGAAAAAUUGCUCUCAAAGGCCGGUAAGGAAGUCCUCAUCAAAGCUGUAGCGCAAGCAAUCCCUGUU
rnacentral:rRNA from 1 species